GCUGAUUGGCGCAAUUUGGUUCACGCCCUUUCAGCUGAUUGGCUGUUGAUUGGUUUAGGCGCGAAGUUUGAAUUCACCGGUUUUAAUCAAGCAACACCAUAGAACUACUUUCGGGGAUGUACAGAGCCAUGAACCCCAGACUUCCGAUGCAGAUAUCUCUGGCUCUGUACAUCAGAUCUCCCCACUUUUUGCAGGGAUCCCAAUUGGCACCCGGGGCUAUUAUUAG